AUCGAUGAAGUCCCUUGUGCCUGCUUCUCUCGCCCAGAUUGGGGUGGGUGCUGGGGGUUAAGGCUUUCGGGCGGCUUGCAAUGGCAUGCAAUCCCGACCCGAUUGCCGUGGAGACCCGAACUCGUGGGGAGCCUAUACAUUUUUGAAAUUGACGGACGACUUACGUUUCGGGGUAAAAACCUGCAAUGCGGUGGAAGGGCAUGACCCGACUUGCUGUGUGCAGAGUAGCCUGCCUUGCGUGGGGCGUGGCGGAUGAGGGAUCCAAGCGCCGGGGAUUGUGGCCACAGUCCCUUGCGCGAUUGCCUUCUGAAACCCGACCUGCAAAAGAGGCUAAGAACCGGCUUGCCUGUGAUGGAAAACAUCUAGGCUGUUUUCGCAGAUAAGGGAUUGCAGUGCGGACUAAGUGGCGAUUCGGUGCCGACUGUGGCGACGCGUCGGUGCAGCGUUCAAUGGGAAACCGCCUCCAUUGGCAACAAGGGGUACGCUGUAGGGAAAACAUACCGAACCUCAAGCCGCAAGGUUUACCUUAUCUGCCACCCCUAUUUAUCUUAU
rnacentral:sRNA from 1 species